UACGUAGGGGGCAAGCGUUGUCCGGAUUUAUUGGGCGUAAAGAGCGUGUAGGCGGCCAUUCAGGUCAGCUGUGAAAACUCGAGGCUCAACCUCGAGACGUCGGUUGAAACCGUUUGGCUAGAGUCCGGAAGAGGAGAGUGGAAUUCCCGGUGUAGCGGUGAAAUGCGCAGAUAUCGGGAAGAACACCCGUGGCGAAGGCGGCUCUCUGGGACGGUACUGACGCUGAGACGCGAAAGCGUGGGGAGCGAACGAGGCA
rnacentral:rRNA from 1 species